CCAGUAAUCCUUUCCACCUUGUUAAUCACCUCAUCUUUCGUUGAAUGAUGCAGAUAUAUGGCUGAUUUGGCUUUAUUAACCAGUUGACCGGAUGUUGCUUCAUAAGCUUGCAGAACCUCCAUCACAAGUGUUAGAGACUUUUCAUCUGAUGAGCAGAAAAUGAUUUUAUCAUCCGCAUAAGCCAGGUGGUUUAUUUUUGGGCUCCAUUUAGG
rnacentral:lncRNA from 1 species